CCCAGUUCACAUGGAGAUAUAUACACUGGCAGGACGGAUUGAUUCACGCUUGUCUCUCGGGAUCCGCCUCGAAGGCAAAGUUGGUCAGAAACUGGAUCUGUUGAUGCUCUGGUUUCUAGAGAAGUCGAUGCAGAUGGGGUUGUGUGAUGUGGGUUUCACUGUGCUGUGUUCUCAAAGCUCUGAGUUUCACACCCUCCUUGCAGGUCUGAACAUGGGGAGUCUCUCCCAUCUUGAGACACUAAUGUUCGUUUUUGCAGGUGGGUUUGAUCAGGACUUGAGGCUGCUGCAGAGUGAGCUGCAGGACUGAAAUGGAUUGUGUUCUGCUCGGGUACCAGUAAACGGCAACAUGCAGCAGGGCUUGAUGCGUUUUGAGAUCAACAUUUCUGUCUGCCCCAAGGGGUCGAAAAAUAGUUUGAAUGCCAUUGGAUUUUAAUAUGACUCCCAAAUUGCUCGCUUGAAGGAAGGUGACUAAAUGAAGAAAGAAUCGAGGCUUUAGGAAGUUUGUUCUCAGAGAGGCUUCGGUAUGCAUACUGAAGAUUACAGAAACUUUCCAAAACCAGUGAUUAUCUUUUCUCAGAGGUAUAUGGACACAACUAAGGACAACUCAUCCGAGCUUCCUGUCGGGAAACGCCAGCGCUAUGAGACCUUGGGCCACUCUUUGCAAGGCAAACUUGUGCUUGCCAACGACGUUGAUGUAAUUAUUUAUGAAUUUAAUAACUCAUGCUAUUCAAAUUCCAAAGUACAGCAGAGAUUACUGUAGUUUGAGCUUCACGACAAGUACUGAAAGCAGCGGCUACCCCGAGAGCGACUCUACGCCACAAGGCUCCGGACAAUUCCAGACACGUCAUCUUCAAAAUGGUACUCUCUUGGGAUUCGAGCUACAUCGCCACUUCGAUUGAGUUACUAUGAUAUGUUGAUGUAGAAUAUUGUGCUUAGUGGAGUGGGAACCACGAGUCGAGUACUAGAUAUAAUCUCUUUGGACUCAUUACGUCGUCUCAGCAUUUCACAACACAAUAGACUGGAAAUAAGCCAGGCUGGUAAUGCCGAACGCAGCUAAAAUCCGCAGUCUUGGCGAUAGGAACAGUGGCGGUUUUAUGCUGUGGUUGCACUGAGAUUGCAAAGUUGUAAUUAAGAAGAACGUGGUUCUAUUAAUACAUAAUGUACCCAAUGUAAUACUAGUAUUAAAAAUAAAAUACAAGUAAAAUAAAAGAAUAAAAAACUAAAAAGAUCAAAACUCUUAAGUAUAUUUGAGAAGGGAGCUAGGAGCUGUGCAACAAUCUGUUUUGUAAUGGGAGGUACUGGUUAAUGCUGAAAAGAAGCCUAUCAGAUGAUGUUAAACUG